CCUACGGGAGGCAGCAGUCGAGAAUCAUUCACAAUGGGGGAAACCCUGAUGGUGCGACGCCGCGUGGGGGAAUGAAGGUCUUCGGAUUGUAAACCCCUGUCAUGUGGGAGCAAAUUAAAAAGAUAGUACCACAAGAGGAAGAGACGGCUAACUCUGUACCAGCAGCCGCGGUACUACAGAGGUCUCAAGCGUUGUUCGGAAUCACUGGGGGUAAAGCGUGCGUAGGCUGUUUCGUAAGUCGUGUGUGAAAGGCGCGGGCUCAACCCGCGGACGGCAGAUGAUACUGCGAGACUAGAGUGAGGGAGGGGGAACCGGAAUUCUCGGUGUAGCAGUGAAAUGCGUAGAUAUCGAGAGGAACACUCGUGGCGAAGGCGGGUUCCUGGACAUUAACUGACGCUGAGGCACGAAGGCCAGGGGAGCGAAAGGGAUUAGAUACCCCAGUAGUC
rnacentral:rRNA from 1 species